ACGUGACCACAGACAGCCAGACGGCUGAGAGCCUGAGACGGGCGACGACCGCACGCCCGCACAAGCUGCUCAGGGCUCCGCUGCUAUGCUAGGGUUUGGACUUUGGAUUGGAGCCACCCCGCCGCACCGGCACCGCAGCCGCCGCAGUGCCGCACAGCCGACACUCCCGUCUUGGUCUUGCGGCUAGUCGCCCUCAGGCCUCGGUCGUCGGCCCCUCGCCCGCUCACCGAGACGCCGAGUCGGCGUCGACCGUCGUCGCGUCUCGCCGAGUCGCUGUCGUCACCGAGGUCCAGCGCCCAGCGGCCCAGCUCCAAGCCUCCAGCCAUCGGCGCCUGCCCUCCUCCACCGAGACGCCGAGUGCCGAGCGCCGAGCGCCCAAGCACCCCAGUCCCCAGCGCCCAACAGGCUAGCAGGCUGCAGGUAUGCGCUCUUUGUUAAUGCGUCCAAGGAGUUGAGCUGAAUGCCCAGCAGGCUAGCAGGCUAGCAGGCUGCAGGUAUGCUUCUGUUCUGUCCAAACCUUCCUUCUAGCACUUAGGAAGUUGGGAACUUGCUUGUUGUAUCAGAUUUGGAUAUACUAUUAGCAUGUUAUUAGCAGUUUAGCUAUCUUAGACUACAGAUAUUGUGACUGCAUAAUCUAAAAUCCUUUUUGUUUAUUCUUUGCAGAAACUGAAGGAAAAGGUGGCAUUCAGGACCCGGUUGAGUUCUAUUUUAAAAUGAUCAACAGUAGGACUAUUGGUGGAAUUCAUAGACCUAAGCCUGAAGAUAAUAAGUAUACUGAAGAGGAACUUCUUCUGUUGAAAAAUAAAGAUAUGUGAUAUAUCCUUCAGAGCAUUCAAAGUGAAAAA